rnacentral:tRNA from 1 species
UCCCUGGUGGUCUGGUGGUUACCACUCUGCCUUUCUAUUGCAGAGGGCACAGGUUCAAUUCCUGGUCAGGGAA